UGCCUGUACCUAGUAAGUAUGCUGCUCGAUUUGUUUGGAUAUUAUUAGAAGAAUGAUAGAUAGACCAGUGUUUCACAAUUAUGGUGUAACCUUAGAUGAACAAUCGACCUCCAUCAAUCAAUCUUCUUGCAACUUCUUCUUAUCCCAUCAUGAUGGAGCAUACAUUUUCUUUUGCUUUGAGGAGCUUCAUAACACCCAUCCUGCUCUAGACCAUUCUUAG
rnacentral:lncRNA from 1 species